rnacentral:rRNA from 1 species
UACGGGGGGGGCAAGCGUUGUUCGGAAUUACUGGGCGUAAAGGGCUCGUAGGCGGCCAACUAAGUCAGACGUGAAAUCCCUCGGCUUAACUGGGGAACUGCGUCUGAUACUGGCAAGCUUGAGUGCAGGAGAGGAACGCGGAAUUCCAGGUGUAGCGGUGAAAUGCGUAGAUAUCUGGAGGAACACCGGUGGCGAAGGCGGCGUUCUGGACUGCAACUGACACUGAGAGACGAAAGCCAGGGGAGCAAACGGG